GUGGGGAAUUUUGGACAAUGGGCGCAAGCCUGAUCCAGCAAUGCCGCGUGCAGGAAGAAGGCCUUCGGGUUGUAAACUGCUUUUGUACGGAACGAAACGGUCCGGGUUAAUACCCUGGGCUAAUGACGGUACCGUAAGAAUAAGCACCGGCUAACUACGUGCCAGCAGCCGCGGUAAUACGUAGGGUGCAAGCGUUAAUCGGAAUUACUGGGCGUAAAGCGUGCGCAGGCGGUUUUGUAAGACAGGCGUGAAAUCCCCGGGCUCAACCUGGGAAUUGCGCUUGUGACUGCAAGGCUGGAGUGCGGCAGAGGGGGAUGGAAUUCCGCGUGUAGCAGUGAAAUGCGUAGAUAUGCGGAGGAACACCGAUGGCGAAGGCAAUCCCCUGGGCCUGCACUGACGCUCAUGCACGAAAGCGUGGGGAGCAAACAGGAUUAGAUACCCGGGUAGUCC
rnacentral:rRNA from 1 species